AUACAUACCUGGCAGGAGAGAUAUCAUGAUCAUAAAGGUGGGUUUCCCAGGGAGAGGCUGACCCACUGCCCUCCAGGUUUGCUGACGUCUCUGAUUUUCCCAAAUGUUGGGAAAUCGAGUGCAUAAUUUGUGGGAGUAGGUGGCUGUGUUAGCACUCUCCCCUG